GAGAUGUGUGAUGACGCAUAUCAAUAAGCGGAGGAAAAGAAACUAACUAGGAUUCCCUUAGUAACGGCGAGUGAAGCGGGGAGAGCUCAAAUUUGAAAUCUUCAAGGUUCUACCUUGACGAAUUGUAGUUUAUAAGAAGUGUUUCUCUGUUAGUAGAGUGGCUAAAAGUUCUUUGGAAUAGGACAUCAUAGAGGGUGAGAAUCCCGUAUUUGGUCAUUCUUUCUAGCUUUGUGAUACACUUUCAACGAGUCGGAUUGUUUGGGAAUGCAGUCCAAAAUGGGUGGUAAAUUUCAUCUAAAGCUAAAUACUGGCGAGAGACCGAUAGCGAACAAGUACCGUGAGGGAAAGAUGAAAAGAACUUUGAAAAGAGAGUUAAACAGUACGUGAAAUUGUCAAAAGGGAAGCGUUUGACACCAGUGUUGUUUUCUCGAAAAUCAAUUAAUAAUUACUGAUUUUAAGUGUUAGUAUUGACUUCAUCAGCUUGCUGCUUUUUUUCAGGAAAUUAUUGAAUGCACUUUUCAGUUAACAAGUCAACAUCAAUUUCUUUUGUUGUAAAAGGGUACGAGGAAGGUGGCUUUCUUUUCGGAGAAAGUGUUUAUAGCCUUGUAGCCUCUGCAAUCGGAGAGAUUGAGGUCUGCAGCGUAGAUCCUUCGGGGUUAGAUACAGUUUGUGCUAAGCUAUAGCUUUUCAUAGACAACUUGUUGACUAUGUUAAGUCUUGUAGCUUACUCGCUUAUGCUAUUUUACCUACGCUUAGGAUGUUGAGUCGUAGAGCACGCAG
rnacentral:rRNA from 1 species